AGUGAACGCUGGCGGUAGGCCUAACACAUGCAAGUCGAACGGCAGCACAGUAAGAGCUUGCUCUUACGGGUGGCGAGUGGCGGACGGGUGAGGAAUACAUCGGAAUCUACUUUUUCGUGGGGGAUAACGUAGGGAAACUUACGCUAAUACCGCAUACGACCUACGGGUGAAAGCAGGGGAUCUUCGGACCUUGCGCGAUUGAAUGAGCCGAUGUCGGAUUAGCUAGUUGGCGUGGUAAAGGCCCACCAAGGCGACGAUCCGUAGCUGGUCUGAGAGGAUGAUCAGCCACACUGGAACUGAGACACGGUCCAGACUCCUACGGGAGGCAGCAGUGGGGAAUAUUGGACAAUGGGCGCAAGCCUGAUCCAGCCAUACCGCGUGGGUGAAGAAGGCCUUCGGGUUGUAAAGCCCUUUUGUUGGGAAAGAAAAGCAGCAGGUUAAUACGCCGCUGUUCUGACGGUACCCAAAGAAUAAGCACCGGCUAACUUCGUG
rnacentral:rRNA from 1 species